rnacentral:rRNA from 1 species
GACGAACGCUGACGGCGUGCUUAACACAUGCAAGUCGAACGGAAAGUCCCUGUUGCUGUGUGGUGCUCGAGUGGCGCGCGUGUGAGUCACACGUGAGUCUCCUGCCCUUGACUUUGGGAUAACUUCAAGACACUUGGGCUAAUCCCGGAUUGGAGCUCCUCCUGCAUGGUGUGGGUUGGAAAGUUUCGCCGGUUGGGGAUGGACUCGCGGCUUAUCAGCUUGUUGGGGUGGUAGUGGCCUACCAAGGCUUUAACUGGUAGCCGGGGUGAGAGGGUGAGCGGGGACACAGGGACAGUGAUACGCGGCAGACACUCACGGGAGGCAGCGGUGGGGAAUAUAGCACACUGGGCGGACGACUGAUGCAGAAACGCUGUGUGCGGGAGGACGGGGUUCGGGUUGUAAAAAGUGUUCGCCUGUGAGGAGGCGUGAGUGACGGUAAUGGGUAAAGAAGCAACGGCUAACUACGUG